GUUCAAUCUUCUGUUUGUAACCAGAAGCUUUAAACCAGCAGAGACCUCAGACAAAUCAUAUCCCUCCUGGGGUGACCAGGUGCAGAUCUUCCAGGGAGCCGUCUAAUGGAAUUUCCUGGUUAAUGGACACAGAGAACCACUGCUAAGAACGAUUUCCUUUUCUCUUUCAAUCUGCAGUACUUUUUAUGAAGACUGGUCUUUUGUGAUGGAUGAAGAGAGGUCCAGUAUGCUUCCUACCAUGGCAGCAGGUCCGAACUCCAUACUCUUUGCGAUUAACAUUGACAACAAGGAUUUGAACGGGCAGAGUAAGUUUGCUCCCACCGUUUCAGACCUCUUAAAGGAGUCAACGCAGAAUGUGACCUUGCUGAAGGAGUCCACGCAAGGAGUGAGCAGCGUGUUCAGGGAGAUCACAGCCUCCUCUGCCAUCUCCAUCCUCAUCAAACCUGAACAGGAGACCGACCCCUUGCCCGUCGUGUCCAGGAAUGUCAGUGCUGAUGCCAAAUGCAAAAAGGAGCGGAAGAAGAAAAAGCAAGUGACCAACAUUAUCUCAUUUGAUGAUGAGGAAGAUGAGCAGAACUCUGGGGACAUGUUUAAAAAGACACCUGGGGCAGGGGAGAGCUCAGAGGACAACUCCGACCACUCCUCUGUCAAUAUCAUGUCCGCCUUUGAAAGCCCCUUCGGGCCAAACUCCAAUGGAAGUCAGAGCAGCAACUCGUGGAAAAUUGAUUCCCUGUCUUUGAACAGGGAGUUUGGGUACCAGAAGCUUGAUGUGAAAAGCAUCGAUGAUGAAGAUGUGGAUGAAAACGAAGAUGACGUGUAUGGAAACUCAUCAGGACGGAAGCACAGGGGCCACUCAGAGUCGCCCGAGAA
rnacentral:lncRNA from 1 species